rnacentral:rRNA from 1 species
CGGGAUGAGUAAAGUGGCGCACGGGUGAGUAACACGUAGGUAGUCUACCCAUUGGUGGGGGAUAACAUCCCGAAAGGGGUGCUAAUACCGCAUAAGCCCACAGCUUCCACGGAAGCAGGGGGAAAAGGUGGCGACCCGCAAGGGGCUACCGCCAAAGGAGGAGCCUGCGUCCCAUCAGCUAGUUGGUAGGGUAACGGCCUACCAAGGCGAAGACGGGUAGCUGGUCUGAGAGGAUGAUCAGCCACACUGGGACUGAGACACGGCCCAGACUCCUACGGGAGGCAGCAGUGGGGAAUCUUGCGCAAUGGGCGAAAGCCUGACGCAGCGACGCCGCGUGAGCGAUGAAGGCCUUCGGGUUGUAAAGCUCUGUGGAGAGGGACGAAUAAGGGCUGGCGAAUACCCAGCCU